GAUAGUUAUUCAGCCAUGCUCAAUCGAUCAUCACUGUCAUCUGAACAGGCCCAAAUACCCAGUAAUUUCUGCUCUCGCCAUUCACGCCCAAAUCGCAACUCGUCUUUACUACGAAGAACACAGACCCGCAUAACCCAGCAAGUCGUAGCUCCAUUCGACCAAGCUUCACGCCCAGCUCUUUUCUUCGUUCCUCAGUAAAAACAAUCACCUGGAUUGACCUGAACGAAGACCUCCAUUAUAAUAAUCGUAUACCCAUUCCCACCAGAGACGCCAGCUCAUUUUACCAAACACCAACUGAAACGAUCCUCUCCCAUUUUCUUUUUCCAUGGCAUUCCUAGCUCCACCAUUCAUCCUUCAAUCGAUUCCAUACGUAGUAGCAGAACCCACCAUUUUCCAUCGAUACCGACUCCUUUCAUCUCCAUAUACAGACACAAUUCAGGCAGUAUCACGGACGAGCAAGUCAGUGGUGUGAACAGGACGAACCCGGCGGCCCGCUAGAACUGAAUUCCUUCUCGGCUUCUUAGCUCGAACCCACUUCGGUACUGGCCCAGCUCUAUUUUUCGUUGGUCACAUUCAUUCAUUCUUCACUCGUCGAUCCACACUGCCCACUUUCGCAUUUGCGCAAAUAAGCAUCUGUAAUUCGUAAAGGUUUGCAGACAAUUCAAGUUUCCAUUUGAAUGCUGGGAAGUUUAAUGAGAAGAUGCAAGUUCCAAAGCUUUUAUGCCCACAAUGUCGGGGUCAGGUGAAGGGUUGGACAGUGGUGGAGCCAGCCCAGAAGCAUCUGAAUACCAAAAAAAGAACCCGUAUGCAGGAAAAUUGCUCAUUUAUUGGUGCUUACAAACAGCUGAGGAAGCAUGUUAAGGCCAACCACCCAUUUGCACGGCCCCUAGCUGUUGACCCUGUUCUUGAAUAACAAAGGAAGAAGCUUGAACAUGAGAGGUAGCAAAAUGAUGUAAUCAGCACAAUUUUGUCGUCAAAUCCGGGAGCUGCGGUGCUGAGGGAUUAUGUGAUUGAGCCAGGCAGUCUUCAUGGCAUUUUUAAUGAUUAUAAUUAUGACUUGGAUGAGUCUCUAGAUGAACGUUUAUUUCCUUUGGAGUCCUUUAAUCGAGGUUAGAAUAGUGGUCAUUAUCGCAAUAGAUUUCAUAUGGACUUUGACACAUUGGAUGAGGAUGACUAUGGAUUGCAUUGUCCUGUGGCUACUGGUCCUGCAGCACUACCUGGACGUGGUCUUCACAGGUUACUUUUGACAAGGGCAAGGAGACCUUGGAGGUUAAGAGGAGGCAAUAGAGGUCGAAACUACUGAUGGUCUGAGGACUUGAGCUAUUAUAGUAGUUUGUUCUAGAUUUGCUUGUCACUGCUGUCAUAUGCCACUGGAGAUGGUUGCCAUUGCGGUGUUUAUCCUGAUGUGGUUUAAUGUGAUGGGCAACUGGUAAGUGAUUUCAAUACAUAGUAGAAAUAGCAGUUUGGAGGGUCUUUUUGAAGGUGAUUUAUUUAUGACUGCCAAGGCAUUUCAUUGGUCUGUUUCCUCGUAUCUUUAUGAAUUGACUGUCAUUUGAUCAUCACAUGUUUACUGGAAUUGAGAUGAAAUGAUUAUAAACAUUCUUGAUAUAUUUGUUCUGAA